GCCUAUCUGCAUGCUUUCCAUUUGCCAAUAUAUACCUCAAAUACAAUAUUACCACCAUUUCAUUACUGAAGCUCUCUUCUCCUUGGACCUUUUCCUCAUUUCUCUCCAACAAACCUCUUGUGCACUUUAAACACUACAUGUUGUGGCUUUAAACUAUUUCACCACAUAGACCAGUUGUUUUAAGGCCCUUUUGUGGAUGACUAAUACUAAAAAUAUUACAUGUUGUGCAUUGUAAACAUACAAUGUGUGUGUAACUGUUUUCCAGUUAAACUAUCUUGCUACAAACAAGGUUUCGCUUUUUCCCUAACUUCUUGACGAAUUUAGAAAUUCGCUCUCUGAGCUAAAUUUUACCUAUGUAGUCUAGAUGCUUAAACAAGUGCAUUUGGUCAAACCAGACUACCUAGCCAAACAUAUAUAUUUCCCGUCAUAAAUUAGGCUUUUGGUUUAAAGUACAUAUCUAGAAAGUGCUUUGUGGGAUGGUUUGUCGAUCAUUGUCACUUCUUUUUAAUAAUUGACUGUUUUUUUUACAUCAGAAGUUUAACAAAAGAACUGGAGUUAAUGCGAUGUGAUAGUCGUCGAUGUAAAGAGGAACUCAACAAGACAGAGCUGAGAACUCGGGAGCUGGAGAAGAUGCUUAAAGGAAAAGAUUGGAUGAUUUCUGAUUUGGAAAACACUAAUAAGUUUUAGGUCACAGAUCUCGAAGCACAACUGGAAUAUAUGAGGAGAAUGGGAGACAACUUACAGGAGGAUUUAUAAGAAAACAUGCCGAAUUGGAUCGCUUUGCUCAGGAAAAAGAAGAAAUGUUGGCCAACGCUAAACAAGCUAAAUCAAUCAAUCGCAGACUGAAAGAGCAAGAUGGACCAACAGAACCAGGAAUUUUCCAGAUUAACUGUAGCAAAGGAUGUUGAAUGGGAAACGUUGCACCAACAGGGGGAUCAGAUGAGAUCUGAACUCGCGCAAAGAAAAAAAUAAUCUUGAGAGGAGGCAGAAAGAGUUGUCUUUAUCUUUGGAGAGAGAGUCGUCGUUGGAACGUUCUAGGGCUCAGCUAGAGUUAGAUUAGCAGCGCAGAUAUGAAUAGGAAGAAAGAACUGGGUAUGAUAAACAAGAAGAACUAGUUAAGAAUUUAACACAAGGCAAAGAAGAGGCGUUAUCGUUGGUGUAACAACAGAAACGUGAACUGCUUCACAAGGAUAGUGUUAUCCAUAUUUUGAAGACACAAAGAGAUGAAUCAGUUUCUAUCCUCAAGCUUCAUGGACUAACCGUGCCUUCCCAAAUAUCAGUCGAAGAUGUUGCACCAGCAGCGAAUAUGAAUAAUGAAGAACUUCAAGUUCAGAACGAAAAUUUGCGUCAUGUUAUUCAUCAAAUGAUAGAGGAUUUGGAGGAUUUGACGAAACAGUUGACUCAACGUACCACUGGAUCGAUUACUAAUGCAGGAGAUGGCGUACCAAUCAGAGAAGAAUAUGUGACAAGUCUGGAAAAAGAAAUUCGAGAAGUGAAGGCGAGAAACCGCGAACUGACCCAAUCCAUGGCUAAUACAAAUGCUAAAACUGAAAAUACUGAGCCAACUUACGUUUUAGAUUGAAGUAAGGAUGAUGUUCAUGUAAGAGGUCUGGUGGCACAGCUGAACAGCACAAUCGGUAGUUUACGCCAAGAGAAAUUUGAUCUUACAUCUCAAUUAAGAAAAUGUGAAGCAACUAUCCUUCAUCUUCAAGGUUCGUCAGAAGCAACAAAACAUUGACCAACUUCACUAUCAGUUGGCAACAGAGAAUCGUCGGGCCAACGAAGAAAUAAAUUGGCUUUGAAACAGCAAAACUCUGAUCUCAAGCUGCAGGUAACCCAAGCAAGACACCAGGCUGACGAAUUUUACAAAACGGGUUUGGAGAGAAAUAUUGAUGCUGUAUCAUUAGGAAACCAGAAAUCGCUGAUAUGAAUUAAGGGAGUAGUAUCGUCAGCUGAAGGAUUACACACAAAACUACGUCAAGCUGCUCAACGGAUUAAUGGAUUAACAAAAGAACGCGAACAGUUGAUUAAAAUGGGAAAUAAGCUGAGAGCUAAAUUGUUGAAAUUUAAAGGAGAAAGAAAAUCACCUUCAAUUGAAGCAAGUCAAUCAUUCAAAGAUCCGCAGAAUGUGGCGCAAACAUCCCGAUCCCAACUACGGGGUUUGGAACAAUUGCAAUAUCAACUAACAAGCAAAGAACUGCGGUAUGCACAGAGAACACUAGCGAGGAAUAAUGAUCAGCAUUCGCUAUCUCCUCGGAAAAAUAAUUCCGCGUCGGCCGAAACACUUCAAAAACACUCCCAAAAGGCGGAACUCACAGAAAAUGCAGGCUUACCAGAAACGUCUACUGGGCGUGACGACAUCGUCUCACUAUGGCAACCUUCGUUCUCAUCACACGACCGCGCGUCAUUACAAGUUGUCUGGAAACUACUAGACGAGGACAGUCCUGGAUUCACCCCUCGCGGAAAUGGCGGGGACGAAGUCGGCAAGUCUCAGCUUCGGGAAAGUUCCUCAACUACGGACAGUUUCACGGUCAAAGGUCAGCCUAGUCACGUGCAUCUCAAGCCAGAGAGUUCCAAGGCUGCGCAGUCUGUCAAGGCAGCUGGUAAAUGGACACCCUCCCAGGUAAAAGCGAAGAUAAUUAAGAAAUUAUAAUAUAAGAGACGAAGAUAUUCGUGAGGGAUUGUAGAUAUUUUUAUUCACCUAUCAUUUUGUUUUUAACCAGACCCGUCAUUCAUAGCAGGUGGAGGCUGUGCUGGGAAUGCCGUUAGAGCUAUGUUAAACCAACACAAUCA